GCAAAGCUGAAUGCUGCCAGUAAACACCUCUCUCUGGGUACUAACGGGUGGAGCUGACGGGGGUGCAAACCAGAGAGCAUUCCGUGUCCUUCCUGGGGCUCCUCCAAUACAACUGCAAUGUGGAGCUCCACCAGUAAGGCCCAGCUGCCAGGUGGGUCACCAACUACUUGAAGCAAAGGCAUACUAGAUAAAUGCCAACACCCUAUUCUGACAAGGACAGUACAGUUAAACAAACAUUUAUAAAUUAAGGCUCCUCUCAUUUUAGCUGGUUUUAAUUUCAAGACCUAUACUCAAACUUUCACUUUCAGAAAUAUGAGACUGCAAGGACACCAAUGCAAGAGGAAAGGCAUUUUAAGAGUUAAAACCCCAAACACUUCAAAAAACACACAGGAACUUGCUCAUACAAAUGACUUCUGCUUUGCAAGGCAGAUGUAGCUUUGGGCAACAAUGUGUAAGGAUGUGUUUGGGAGACACUUUUGUAAUCUUUGUGCUUGGAUGUUC